UAAGGAAUAUUGGUCAAUGGACGCAAGUCUGGACCAGCCAUGCCGCGUGGAGGAUAAAGGUCCUCUGGAUUGUAAACUUCUUUUAUCUGGGACGAAACACUUCUUUUCUAAGAGGCCUGACGGUACCAGAUGAAUAAGCACCGGCUAACUCCGUGCCAGCAGCCGCGGUAAUACGGAGGGUGCGAGCGUUAUCCGGAUUUACUGGGUUUAAAGGGUGCGUAGGUGGGCUUAUAAGUCAGUGGUGAAAUCUCCGAGCUUAACUUGGAAACUGCCGUUGAUACUAUAGGUCUUGAAUUAUCUGGAGGUAAGCGGAAUAUGUCAUGUAGCGGUGAAAUGCUUAGAUAUGACAUAGAACACCAAUUGCGAAGGCAGCUUACUACAUAUAAAUUGACGCUGAGGCACGAAAGCGUGGGGAUCAAACA
rnacentral:rRNA from 1 species